rnacentral:lncRNA from 1 species
CUUCCCGCUGUGUUGUGUCCUGCCCUUCACUCCAUGGAGCUUAUUCUUCUACAAGCUGUUCUGUUUAUUCCUUGUCUCGCUCCACAGCGUCAGCUCUGUGGGAGCAGCAGGAUCGUUUUUUUUUAAAGUGUGGUGGUUUUCUGUCUUACUCUCCUCUUGAAUGUCAAGGACUGUGAGGUGUUGUGGCUGGAUCCCUGCCCUCAGCCCAGGCCUGGAACAGAGCACAUGCGCUCUCAGCAUUUGGGGAAGAACCAGCAAUGAACAGAAGUUCAAGGGACCUUAUAUCACCCUCACCUCAUAUGGAACUCCAGUGGUCUGGAUGUAUCCGUGUCUCACACCCACGAAACACAGCGCCUCCACACGGACACCAUCCUUUCUACUUCCGAGCCCGAGGAGAACAGAAGGGACUCCUGGCGCCCCUCGAAUAGAGGCAGCCGGACCCGCAGGAAAUCCGUCUGCUGAGUCCUGAGCACGUCACCGGGAACCGUGGCCGCCUGGGAGCAGCCUCAGCGCCGGGAAGGCAGCGGGACGACCGUUCCCCCAAGGUGGCAAGGAAGCGCUUCCGGGCGCCCUUUGGGGAGGAGGACGGGCGGCCCGUGGUCCCUUCCGGUGCCUCCUGUUCUGGACACCAGGGCCGGCCCUCUCCGGGGAGAGGACACACGUUUGUGAAUCGGGACUAUCGGGGUCCAUGGGGGAGGCUGGGAAGACUGGACAUGUCUGCGUGCGUCCGUGUGGUCCGCACCUCCGGGCGCGUGGGAAACAUGGAGAAGGUGUAACCCCGCGGACGCCGGCGCCGUGACCUUUCCUGCUCGCGCUCAGCUGCCCCGGCGGUGCCCGGGGGCAGAAGGGGCCUCGCGGCGCUCUGGUCCACCCGGCCGGGCAGCGACACCGACCGCCGCCGCCCGCCCAGGCCGCGGACCUGCAGCUCGAAUCUCCGGCGACAGCAGGCUCUUCCCGGGUCUCAUGGCACCGGGAGCGUUGCCGCUGUCACCCCCGGCCUCUGGAGCUCUGCCCCGGGCUCGGCGGCCGAACCUUCGCGGGAGUCGCCAACGUUCCCCGGGAAGGGACCGGCUCACGGCGUCCUUUGGGUGGCUCCCGACGGGCGGCGCACACGGCCCCGGGCGGACCCCGAACGCCGGGCCGCCCUGACGCCCCGCUUCUCCUGGGCGUCCGCCUGGGAGCCGGCUCCCGGCCCGGCAGGGCGCGGAGACCCAGACACCAGACGGGAGGGCGGGAGCUGGGAAGACCUCCCCGGGCAGCUGCGGGAGAAGGCGCGCUCCUCAGCGAUUCCCGAGGCUCGGACCCAGGCGGCCCAGAGGGCAGGUCCCUGCUCCCAGGCGGACUUAGGAAUUUAGUGAAACUUAGAUUGUGUGGACUGUAAAACUGAAACCAUGAAAGGACUGGGUAAAAACAUAUAUGAAUGAUUUUUAUUCUGUGGAGUAGAAAGAUUGGAAUCAUGAUACAACAUUAAAAAAAAAAAAAGUCUCUUCAGAAGCCAUCAAAUAAAUGAAUGAUAAACAGUCA